GGCUUUAUAUUCAAUAAUGAUAUUAGACUGCAAUUCUAAAGGAGUACCAAUAGUACUAAGGCUU
rnacentral:tRNA from 1 species